GACGAACGCUGGCGGCGUGCUUAACACAUGCAAGUCGAACGCUGAACCCGCUUCGGUGGGGUAUGAGUGGUGAACGGGUGAGUAACACGUGGGCAACCUGCCCCCGGCUCUGGGAUAACUCCAAGUAAUUGGGGCUAAUACCGGAUGUGACCGCUGGCCGCAUGGUCUGGUGGUGGAAAGGGAUUCCGGCUGGGGAUGGGCCCGCGGCUGAUCAGCUUGUUCGUUGGGUAGUGGCCUACGAAGGCGCCGACGGGUAGCCGGCCUGAGAGGGGGACCGGCCACACGAGGACUGAGACACGGCCCAGACUCCUACGGGAGGCAGCAGUGGGGAAUAUUGCGCAAUGGGCGGAAGCCUGACGCAGCGACGCCGCGUGGGGGAUGACGGCCUUCGGGUUGUGAACCUCUUUCAGCAUGGACGAAGCGCAAGUGACGGUACCUGCAGAGGAAGCACCGGCCAACUACGUG
rnacentral:rRNA from 1 species